rnacentral:rRNA from 1 species
GAUGAACGCUGGCGGCGUGCCUAAUACAUGCAAGUCGAGCGAACGGACGAGGAGCUUGCUUCUCUGAUGUUAGCGGCGGACGGGUGAGUAACACGUGGAUAACCUACCUAUAAGACUGGGAUAACUUCGGGAAACCGGAGCUAAUACCGGAUAAUAUUUUGAACCGCAUGGUUCAAAAGUGAAAGACGGUCUUGCUGUCACUUAUAGAUGGAUCCGCGCUGCAUUAGCUAGUUGGUAAGGUAACGGCUUACCAAGGCAACGAUGCAUAGCCGACCUGAGAGGCGGGUCGCCCACCCUGGAACGGAGACACGGUCCAUACUCCUACGGGAGGCAGCAGUCGGGAACCUUCCGCAGUGGGCGAAAGCAUGACAGAGCGACGCCGCGUGAGUGAUGAAGGUCUUCGGAUCGUAAAACUCUGUUAUUAGGGAAGAACAUAUGUGUAAGUAACUGUACACAUCUUGACGGUACCUAAUCAGAAAGCCACGGCUAACUACGUG